ACGCUCGACACCUACAGGAGGCAGCAGUCGGGAAUAUUGCGCAAUGGAGGAAACUCUGACGCAGUGACGCCGCGUGCAGGAGGAAGGUUUUCGGAUUGUAAACUGCUUUAGACAGGGAAGAAAGAAAUGACAGUACCUGUAGAAUAAGCUCCGGCUAACUACGUGCCAGCAGCCGNGGUAAUCNGAGCGGGCUGGCAAGGC
rnacentral:rRNA from 1 species